rnacentral:lncRNA from 1 species
AAACUUUAUUGGAAUAGAGUUGACUUAACAAAGUUCCAUCUGCAGAAAUCAUGGGAUAAAAUUUUUUAAUUAGUGUCUGAUGCAAAAGACAGAAUGGGGGCCACGAUGCCAAAUCAGUAGGUGAAAUCUAUCCUCAGGGAGCUUAGUUGCUCUCCUCCUGUGCUUCUCCUAUCUUAUAUUUCCUAUCGUCCAGAGCAAGUGAGUCACGUUGUUUGUUUACCACUGUCUCCUCGAUACUUAGUUCUAGGGGGACAUUCCUGAUAUUUGCUGGAAGAAUAAAUGGAUGAUUGAAUGAAUGAGAGAAUACUCCCAAACCACGUAAUUGAAACAGUUGCUACAAAGCCUUGAUUUACUUUCCAUGGGAUGUUUGCAAAUGCAUGUUCUUUUCCAAAACAGGAAAAUCAGUGAGCAUAUAUGAAUAAAUCAGAUCAGAAGGGUCAGACUGAAGGGGUGGGGAUGGGCGUUCCCAGAAUCCCAGCAGAAGGAAGACUGUCUUCUACUACUUGAAAUACACAGAAACUCCCCUGGCUUGAAAGGUGGCACUUAUAAGUCACAGCGCCUCCAAGCCUUCCUCAGCCCCGAAGGACAUGUGAGGUUUGAAACUCACUGUUAUUGUGUAGAAAGUUUUCUCUUCACAUCUCCUUGUGUGAAUCAACAGAACCAAGUGAAGAUGACGAAUGUAUAUGAGAACAAUCCUCGCUUACAGGUCAUUAUGCUCAAGCUCUUUGUUAUGCACUGAACUGUGUUCCCCCCAAAUUCCAAAGUUGAAACCCUAACACCCAGCACCACGGAAUGCGACUGUGUUUGGAGGUAAAACUUCUACGGACGGGACUACGUUAAAAUGAAGCUCUUGGGGCAGGUCCUAAUCCACUCUGACUGGUGUCCUUACAAAAAGAGAAAAUUUGGACAAAAAGAGAGACACGAGGUGUGUGUGCACAGAAGAAAGACCCCAUGAGGUCACAGCUAGAAGGCGAUCAUUUUUCAAGCCAAGGAGAGAGACCUCAGAAGAAACCAAAUGUGACCGCAUCUGGAUAUUGGAUUCCCAGCCUCCAAAACUGUGAGAAGAUAUAUUUUUGUGGUUUAAGCCACCCAGCCGGUGGUACUUUGUUCUGGCAGCCCCAGAAAAUGAAGACACCAUAUGAAAAUAAACUCACUCCUCUGUUAAAUGGAAAAACCCUGACGCCAAGAAGGCCAGCCUUCACAUCUGGGACACUGCGUAGACCAGGGAUGGCUUUAUACAGGCAUUCUGACCACCAAGGACAGGUCAUUCACAGGUUCUGCCAGCAACGUGCUGCUGGGUUAGCUCCCAUGGUGGGGGGAGGGGGACGAGGACUCAUCAAGGUUUCACUCGUGACGUCAUAGUCUGGUCUUGGAAAGCAAAUCCCUUUGUCCUUUUGUGCAGACACAGUACCAGCUCCAUGCAGCCAGAGACCAUGUUUAGCCAUUCGCUAAAUGCUUACCAAUAAAAUCCACCGGCACAGAGAAAGGCUGAUCAAGUGUAUUUACCCAGAAUGACUUUUCUUAAUCAAGUACUGUUAAAAUUAAUUAUGAUGAGCAUCUGGCGAAGAAUGUCUUUGCAAAAUUAAUGUUGAAAAUUAUUCCCUCUGCUCUUAUCCUUUGGGGUAAUAUUGGGUAUGAACAUAAGAAGAAUAUAUAUUUAGUGCCUAAUAAAUAUUGCUACUAAAAUAACAUCAUAGUAUACUUAAUAAACCCCCCAAAGAUAAUCUCGCUCAAGUGUAAGUAGUAUUUUUUUGCCUUUUAUCUGUCACUAAGAAUUAUGUAACUUAUUUUCCUUUUAAAUUUGUCUGUCCCCUUGGAAUCUCACGGCUAAAUAUAGUCUUUAAAUAUAAUUGCUGUCUUCAGCCCAGAUUUCUGGCAUGUCAUUCUCCCUUAUCACUAUAUAGCAUUUGAUCUUCAGUCAUUAAGCUAACAAAUAUGCCAAGCUCUGUUUUUUUUCCCAUGAGCUUCUUCAAAUCCUUUUCUAGAAUUAGAUAGGACAUAAAUAAUAAAUAAGAAUUAUCCUUUGAAGGAAAAGGAAUACCUUUAUCCAGGAGUCGGGGGUUCUCCACUGGGAAAAUGCGCC